CACCGCGGUUAUACGAGAGGCCCAAGUUGAUAAGCACCGGCGUAAGAGUGGUUAAGACAAACACAAAACUAAAGCCGAACACCCUCCCAGCUGUCAUACGUAGACACGAGGGCUAGAAGUUCAACUACGAAAGUGGCUUUACAUUAUCUGAACCCACGAAAGCUACGGUACAAACUGGGAUUAGAUACCCCAUUAUGCCUAGCCCUAAAUAUCGAUAGAAAACUACACCCACUAUCCGCCCGGGUACUACGAGCAUCAGCUUAAAACCCAAAGGACUUGGCGGUGCUUUAGAUCCACCUAGAGGAGCCUGUUCUAGAACCGAUAACCCCCGUUCAACCUCACCCUUCCUUGUUUUUCCCGCCUAUAUACCACCGUCGUCAGCUUACCCUGUGAAGGCCUUACAGUAAGCAAAAUUGGCACGCCCUAAAACGUCAGGUCGAGGUGUAGCACAUGGAAGGGGAAGAAAUGGGCUACAUUCACUGUAUCAGUGAAUACGGACGGUGCACUGAAAAGUGCACCCGAAGGAGGAUUUAGCAGUAAGUAGGAAGCAGAGUGUCCUACUGAAAAUGGCCCUGAAGCGCGCACACACCGCCCGUCACUCUCCCCAAGCCCCCUCAACCCCUAAUAAUUAAAACCUAUGCUCGCAAUAGGGGAGGCAAGUCGUAA
rnacentral:rRNA from 1 species